rnacentral:rRNA from 1 species
UACGAAGGGGGCUAGCGUUGUUCGGAAUUACUGGGCGUAAAGGGCGCGUAGGCGGCUGUGCAAGUCAGAUGUGAAAGCCCUGGGCUCAACCCAGGAUGUGCAUUUGAUACUGCAUGGCUAGAGUGUCGGAGAGGAUGGUGGAAUUCCCAGUGUAGAGGUGAAAUUCGUAGAUAUUGGGAAGAACACCGGUGGCGAAGGCGACCAUCUGGACGACAACUGACGCUGAGGCGCGAAAGCGUGGGGAGCAAACAGG